UACGGAAGGGGCAAGCGUUGUUCGGAAUCAUUGGGCGUAAAGGGCGCGUAGGUGGUUCUGUAUGUCUACCGUGAAAGCGUACGGCUCAACCGUAUUUUGUCGGUAGAAACUGCAGGACUUGAGGCUGGGAGGGGCUGGUGGAAUUCCCUGUGUAGCGGUGAAAUGCGUAGAGAUGGGGGGAGAACACUCGUGGCGAAGGCGGCCAGCUAGACCAGUUCUGACACUGAGGCGCGACAGCGUGGGGAGCAAACAGG
rnacentral:rRNA from 1 species